AAUUCUCAACUGCCUUUAUGGUGAAGUUGGAUUUGGAGGAUCUUGCUGGCGCUCUUCAAUGAGCUUUGUCGGCUCCUCUCGAAUGCAUGAGCCUUCCUGUGCAACAUUGUGAAGCGACUCCGAUGUGAUAAUUAUCUACGUUGGACGUCGUGUUUGCUUUGGGCGCGAACGGAUUGCAAAAACGCAGAUAUGCGUCCUUGACAA
rnacentral:misc_RNA from 1 species